UUCCCACUUGUGAAUAGACAGCAUGAAGGCUUUAAACCUCUGAACCUGAUCAGCACUGGCAAUGAUCUUCUGCAGAUCCAACAACAGCACAGAAGAACGUAUCAUCAGGAACACAUUUGGAUAUUGACACAACUUCAUCCGCAGUUGGCUUGUCAUCCCGAGCUCCCUUCCCAGGCAGCGUAGAUAUUGCACAGGAUUUUGCUGACCAGGGAGCUGGGUUAUAAGCGGUAACUCUAACCUCUUAAUACUAGCAACAUUGACAGUACCAUAUAAUCCAUCUAUUACACCACACAGGAAAAUCAAGCCCAGUGGUACAGGACAGAAGAACUGGCUCCAGCCAGGAUCAAGCAUUGCUUUGGCAUUGUUCCCCAAUACCUGCGACUUUCUUCUCCAGUUGUUGGGGUAACUGGAGUGAGGAGCCUGAGGGGACCCAAAGAUGUUCUCCUGAGCCUAAGGAGGACCCAAUGGCAGGCAUCAGCACAGCUGAACACCACCUGGACCCCACUGCAGCCCUGCCCACGCAGCUCUCACGGAGCAGACACAGUGCUCAAGUAAUAAGCACAGAUGGAGGAGAAACGGGAGGCUGUGGAAGGCAGGAGAGAAAGGCCGAGAGACGAGUUUGUAAGAACGCCAAAGUCACCUUCCCCAGUGUGGGAGGAAAAUGCCAAAGGCACUGGUUCUGCUGCCACAGGCAGUCUGAGCACCUGGAGUUGUGACGUCCUUCCAGGAGAGGUGCCACCAAGGAGCAGGAGGUUUGUCAAAGCUCUGGUCCCACCAACAAGAACCUCCCAAAGCAAAGCAGCCCCCAUUGAGGUUCCAAGGUCGUUUUGCUGAAGACGGGAAUGAAACCAAUACCAAAGCGACAGGGGGUUGACAGAGGGGGCAGAGGCUGGGCACCGGCAACAUGGAGCCGUUCAAGUAAACAUAAACCACCAAAUACUUAGAAAAGGCUUGUAAACGAGUGAUCCGAAAGGUACUCUUUGCAGCAUCUCUGAUCAGCUGGCUAAAGAAAGGUGGGUGCUGAACCCGUCUUUAGUGUUAUCUGUUUUGUGUUAAAGCACACGUGUGACACGGGCAGAGUGUGUGGGCCUGGGCCUGGAUCGCAUGCAGCCGUGGCCCUCUGUCUACAAAGGAGGUGCUUCUGGGUCCUGGUUCCGGAUCCUUCCCCUGCAUGUUCAUAGACGGACAGACUUCUAAUUUCAGUUGCUAGAAAAGAGCUGAGCCCGGCGUCCCCUCAGGCGUCCAGCUGCAGUCAUCCACAGCACAGCAUUCUCCUAGAGCGGGCAGGCUGGAAUCCACAGGACUUUAUUUUGUUCUUGAUUGACCAUUGCCAAGAUCUGAGUGCAAAUGCUUGACAGGGCUCCUCCCUGGAUGACCCCUGCAAAAGAGCCCCCCAGACACAUGUCAUUCAGCUCGGAGUAAGACCCCAGGUUGGAGGCAACGCAGUACAGCUUGCACUCUUUCUACUGUGUGGCUGUCUGCUUUGUGCUCCUUGGCACUCUGCUCCAUCCCCACCUGACUCUCUCCUUCACCAGCAAGAAAUUGGGAAAGAAAAUUGCCCCUCUUGAGUUGAUCACUCAUAUGUAAACUGCCCACCCCACUGCAGUUAACACCCUGGGUUGGGUUUGCGAUGGUUUGGGGGAAUCCCAGGGCAUCAGAAAGAAGUUUGGAGGACAUGUGGCGGUGGUCUAAUCAUUAGCAGGAUUCUGCAGGAAACGACAAGUUUAAGGAGCCAGAUAGCUCAUGGCCAAGAGGAGAGUCACAGCAAGAUGAUGACUCCAACUUGGGCCAGCCCUGUACUAUAGGAGUUUGACACAGGGGCCUAUAGACACCAGGCCAGGGGUACUCCAGUGUGCUCCACAUAACAGCACCUGGACACAAACCAAGCCCCUACUGCAACAAGGCACGCUCAGAAAUUGACAGUGAGUGUUUAGAGACUGCUAUGGAAAAGGGACGUCGUAAUUUUAUGUCUGUUGAAUCUAACAAGAAAAAAACAGAGCUUACCUUUUGCAAGAU
rnacentral:antisense_RNA from 1 species